GGACAAGCGGUGACUCGCUCUAUUGGCUAGAGAAUGAGCCGCUUGGUUGUCGUUUCUCUUCACAAGAGAAUGAUAGAGAAGUGAUACUUGAACUAAUACCUUGAAUACUCAAAGGGGAAAAACACCCACGAAGGGCCUUGAAAACGAUCUUUGAGUUUUAUCAAGUAACACAGCUUCCAACAAGCAAGGCUUUUGAAAAUUAGUAUGUCAGCGUGUAGAGUGAGUUAGUUGCAGCUUUGUAUUUUUUGUAUGCUGGAGUU
rnacentral:misc_RNA from 1 species